UAAACUAGUAGCGCAUAGUUUUGAGUCCUUAGUUAUAUUUAAGUUAACUAUUUUAUGUUGUUAAAGAUAAGAAGCUCGUAAUUUAAUUAAUAUCGAUUCGAUUUUAUUUAAAUUUUAGCCGGAUUUGAUAAUUGACUCAAUUUGGUCAACUUUUGUUUGUGGCUAUAAUUGCAAUUCAACAUCCAUGUAUGUAAUUGCAAAAUUAGGCCACCUGUCGGACCCAAUUUUAAUCCAAAACCUUCGCACUAAUUCCUAGAAAAUCCCUCAUUCCCUUUUCCCUGUAACCCAGCCCAACCCAACAAUUUCAUUUACCCAACCCAGUUUAAUCCUUUAACCCGGCCCAGAUAUUUGUCUUCUUCCCAAAGGAGCAGAACGUACGAUAGCCAGAUCAACGAAAAAUCCCAAAACACGUCCAAUUUCAGCGCGUCAACGACGACGCUCAACAAUCCAAAUCACCGCCCCUACAGGCGGAACUUUGCGAUUCUUUGUCCCUUACGCAAUAACCCUUUCUCGUCUGUUCUCACAGCAGCAGAACAGGGCACGCGAAAUCAUCUUUGGGGAGGUGAGAUCGAUCCACAUCUCCCCGAGGACGAUUGAGUCAAUCAAACCCAUUCAUUCCCCUUUCCUCUUCUAGUUUGAAGUUGGACUCUCAGAAAGUUUUUUCGUCCAAAAAGGGAAAGGGUUUUGAAGUUUGGAGUAGGUUAUGGGAUUCUCGAUUUUGCCCCGAAUUUCUCCAAGAUUCACCGGUUUAUCCUUCAAAAUUGUGACCUAAUUCCCCUUCUAUUUAAACAUCUCUUCCGGCUCAUUCAAAGGGGAGAAAAAUUUUAUGUGGAGGACAAGAAAAGAUUUCUGCGUUAAGUUUUAGUCUUCUGAGAAUUUCUUGCUCAACAAAAAUAGAAAGAUUUUGGAAAAAAAAUAGAGUUGGAAAGGAGACAGUAGCAAAUAAAAAAUAACAGAAAGGAAAUGGCUGUACGCAUAUAAAAAUGUAUACAAGAUAAUAAAAGAAGAUAGAGACUUGAAAUUUGAACUUUCAUAUCUGUUUUUCAUUUUCUGUUCACUGAAGCUAGUUGACAUUUCAGUCGUGGUGAAGGUCGUCGUUCAACUCGUAUGUCCCAGUCGCUGCCCGGGAAAAGGAUGAAUCCGACACACGAAACUUUUAAAACAAGAAUGGCUACCGUCCCUGAUCCCUUCCUUAAAGUAUGGUGGAGCUUCAUGAACAAUGACGAUAAAAUAAUCAUUCAGAAACACAUAGGUUACCUCUUGUCAAUGCUAGAGAUGAAUGUUUGGCCUGACCUAAUUAGAAACAAUGGUGAAAUUUUGGGAUAGCGAGCAUAUGGUCUUUCGAUUUAGGGAAGUGAAGUUGACGCCAACAAUAGUAGAAGUCCUCACGAGUUACAAAAGUGUAUCCAUGUGCAACAAUAGGAAACGAAAUCCAAAUACAGAUCUCCUAAAUCCUAUAAUAUGGGAUUUCGCCAAAAGAGAAAAACUGUCAUAGGUUAAAAACGAGUGUAUGGACAAUAUCCCCAGCCCAAAUAUACCUUUAAGAAAACUAUAUUAUCGCUUGUGAGAAAUAUAAAGAGGAUUUCAUUUCAAAAGAAAAAUGGAAAGCACCAAGUCCCCUCGCAUUUACAAUAUGUUUACUCGGAACGAUGGUUUUCCCUCAAGGGCCAAAAUACACUAUUCAUCGCACCAUUUUUAUGGUCACUCAUGCCAUCUUUUACGGAGUGGACUAUAAAUCAUCAAUAAAGUACUACACUUUAGGGCCUAUGAUUUUUGCCGACAUCUAUAGUAUUUUACACAAAUGUCAAAGUGGAGAACGCUUCUUUCAAGGGUGUAAUCUGAUACUACAGUGGUGGAUGAUGAGACAUUUGAUCAAGAAUCAUAAUCCAAAAGAACCAGAUCCCCUAAAGUGGUCAUACAAUCUACAUGGUCAUGAUUGGUAGUCAGAUCUAUAACCGACGGAGUCUGAGAAGGUGUAGAUGGAUGGUUCUGAGUUGGAUCCAUAUUUGAAGAAGGGAAGUAGAUAUGAGGUCUCCCAUCAGCAGCGUUAGAAGCAAAUCCUGGGGGAGGCAGAUCCUGUCUCCUUUGCAUUUCAACUCUCAUUUUUUACAAUUUGCAGCAUCAAUUGCAAAAUCAAUUCAUUCUGGUCCGUUAUUAUUUUAAAAUUUAUUUAGAAGGUCAUUUUUGUCAAAUCACCGGUCAACUGCGAGUUAGUGGGCAUUUCGAGGGCCUAACACCUUAUCAGAAUGUAUAUUUGAACUUCAAACGCUUUUCAACUGA